rnacentral:rRNA from 1 species
GUAGGGGAAUCUUCCACAAUGGGCGAAAGCCUGAUGGAGCAACGCCGCGUGUGUGAUGAAGGGUUUCGGCUCGUAAAACACUGUUGUAAGAGAAGAAUGACAUUGAGAGUAACUGUUCAAUGUGUGACGGUAUCUUACCAGAAAGGAACGGCUAAAUACGUGUCAG